AAGCCUAAAUUAUAUUCAUUUUUUUAUUGACUCGUGAAUGCUGCAGGCCGCAGCUAACUCGUUCGGUCCAAAAUAAGCUUGGCGCCACUGCACUGACGAACCACCUCAGCAGUCAGGUCUCUCCCCAGUCGCUUCGCGUCACCCGAGGUACACAAGAUCAACCAAGUUCCUGGCAACUCAUCGCUCUGCUGAGAAAGAAUUUCUUUGAAGUCCAUAAAACUGUGGAAUUAUUCAAUGUAGUAAUCCCUUUUGGACAAAAUUGCGCCAUUGGGACCAUGUUUUUGGUCACUAGAUGUUUCGUUCUAAUAUUCUAUCUAAAAAAUAUUUAAGGGCAUGAGAA